rnacentral:rRNA from 1 species
UACGUAGGGUGCGAGCGUUGUCCGGAAUUAUUGGGCGUAAAGAGCUCGUAGGCGGUUUGUCGCGUCGACUGUGAAAACCCGAGGCUUAACCUCGGGCCUGCAGUCGAUACGGGCAGACUAGAGUUCGGUAGGGGAGACUGGAAUUCCUGGUGUAGCGGUGAAAUGCGCAGAUAUCAGGAGGAACACCGGUGGCGAAGGCGGGUCUCUGGGCCGAUACUGACGCUGAGGAGCGAAAGCGGUGGGGAGCGAACCGG